UACGUAGGGUGCAAGCGUUAAUCGGAAUUACUGGGCGUAAAGCGUGCGCAGGCGGUGAUGUAAGACAGGUGUGAAAUCCCCGGGCUUAACCUGGGAACUGCAUUUGUGACUGCAUCGCUGGAGUGCGGCAGAGGGGGAUGGAAUUCCGCGUGUAGCAGUGAAAUGCGUAGAUAUGCGGAGGAACACCGAUGGCGAAGGCGGCAUCCUGGACCAACACUGACGCUGAUGAGCGAAAGCCAGGGGAGCAAACGGG
rnacentral:rRNA from 1 species